UCGUCUCUAGUAAUGUGUAUUUCAGAUCGGAAUCACAAAAAGCGGCGGAUACAAGUGAUGGAUGCUUUAGAUACGGUGUUCGAUCCCUUGAGAGACUUCGCCAAGGACAGUGUCCGUCUCGUCAAGAGAUGUCAUAAGCCUGAUCGCAAAGAAUUCUCGAAAGUGGCUGUACGGACUGCGAUUGGAUUCGUGGUGAUGGGAUUCGUAGGGUUCUUUGUCAAGCUCAUUUUCAUCCCCAUCAACAACAUUAUUGUCGGAUCUGCUUGAUUUUAAUCAGAACAAUCAAGAUGUGGAAUUUUCGUGGUGUUGAAAAUUGUUUCAUUGUAUAAUGGGUGACCUAAAGUACACAAGGGACUUUUGUCAGCUGUUAGUAGGAGGUGCCAACUUCUUGUUACAUUUUUUGUUCUUUUAGUAAAAGCUUCAAAAUGACUGACUGCUGUUUUGUUGGAUGUAGCUUCUUGUAGUAAGUGUAAGAUAGACAUUAUACUUACCCACCUACCACUUCUUCUGAGUUUAUACUUUCAUUUAUGCA